CUUGUAUCCAUCAGUGGUCAGUGCAGAUUUGCUGAGCCCUUUUCUUUUACUCAUGAUUUCGGAAUCAUAACGUGUUAGGAUCCGAUGGAAACCAAUCAGAUUGCUAGAUUUCGGAUUGUAACGCGUUAUGAUUCCGAAAUCAUGAGAAGAAAACAGCUCUGGUUCCAUACGUUUUGUGCUUGUAACUUUCAGUCGAAGAUAACCCAAAAACAAAGAAAAAAAAGAAGGGUUAUAAACCCAUGUUUGUAUUAAAAGAGUAAAACAAAACAUAUUAUUAACGUCAAAAGGAAAAGGAAUUAAUUACCUACCUAAUAUGAAUUAGUGGAAAUUUAAAUGAAAUGAAGAAUGAAGCGUUUCAUAUGAAUAAAAAUAAUUUGUGAUAAUUAAAAAACAGCUUCAGUAAGUUCUUACUACGUAGCUAUUAUUUUAAGAAAGAUAUGAGUUGGAAAAGUACAGUGCUGUUUAACUAAAUGGAUAUACCUCUACCCCUUUGUAUUAUUUGUAUAACUUAUGCGAUGAAUAGACUUUAGUGUGAAGACUAUAUAUAAAAAACAUCUAUAAUCUAUCCAGUGAUAAUAUUUCUCAAAAUUGGCUGGCUUGGGUUUCUGCUUGAGUGUUUAUAACUGAAGCAAAUAAAUUGGAAGACAUAUGAUAUACAGGGCGAUCUAUCGAACACCAUGUAAAAGCAUCAUCACAAACCAAAGAAAUUAGUAUGGAUACGUAGAAGGUUCACUAAAUUGCAGUAACAUGAAUAAACCCUGCAAAUCUAGUGUACAUUUUGUAGUCACUAUCUAUAAUUAUUUAUAUUAAUAAUAUGAUAACGUUUCCUAAAUAAUAUGGGCGAGACUGGAUAACCUAUAAAGGUGGUGCGGAAAUAAUUGGAAUAUGUGUAGCUUAUAGCUCUCAAACACAGGAAAAUUAUAUUUUUCCAUAACUCCUUACAGCCCCUCGAAGUUUCCCAAGGAUUAUGAAACAGUGACUGUAAUUUGAAAAUGAAAAAGCUAUUAUAGUCAAAUUUUACACAAAUCUGUAACUAAUACAUGUACAACCUCAACAAUUUUUUAAAAAUGUAUGUUCUUAGAAGGGGGUUGAAAUGAGUUAUAUUUUGCCAACUUUUUUAUUUGAUAGUAAUUAAAUAUUCAAAAGUACUUGUCAGA